AAAAAGAUAAGCUAAUUAAGCUACCGGGCUCAUACCUCGUUUAUGAAUAAAUUCUCUUUUAA
rnacentral:tRNA from 1 species